rnacentral:rRNA from 1 species
AUUGAACGCUGGCGGCAGGCCUAACACAUGCAAGUCGAGCGAGCGGCGGACGGGUGAGUAAUGUAUGGGGACUGCCCGAUAGAGGGGGAUAACUACUGGAAACGGUGGCUAAUACCGCAUACUAUCGGAUAACCCAUAUGGGAUUAGCCAGUAGGUGGAGUAAAGGCUCACCUAGGCGACGAUCUCUAGCUGGUCUGAGCGGAUGAUCAGCCACGCUGGGACUGAUACACAAGCCCAACUCCUACGGAGGCAGCAGUAGGGAAUAUUGCACAAUGGGCGCAAGCCAGGUGCGGCCAUGCCGCGUGUAUGAAGAAGGCCUUAGGGUUGUAAAGUACUUUCAGCGGGGAGGCGUUACCCGCAGGGGAAGCACCGGCUAACUCCGUGCCGGCCGCCGCGGUAAGUC